rnacentral:rRNA from 1 species
GUAGGGUGCAAGCGUUGUCCGGAAUUACUGGGCGUAAAGAGUUCGUAGGCGGUUUGUCGCGUCGUUUGUGAAAACUCACAGCUCAACUGUGAGCCUGCAGGCGAUACGGGCAGACUUGAGUACUGCAGGGGAGACUGGAAUUCCUGGUGUAGCGGUGAAAUGCGCAGAUGUCAGGAGGAACACCGGUGGCGAAGGCGGGUCUCUGGGCAGUAACUGACGCUGAGGAGCGAAAGCGUGGGGAGCGAACAGGAUUAGAUACCCUGGUAGUCCACGCCGUAAACGGUGGGUACUAGGUGUGGGUUUCCUUCCUUGGGAUCCGUGCCGUAGCUAACGCAUUAAGUACCCCGCCUGGGGAGUACGGCCGCAAGGCUA